GAGUUUGAUCGUGGCUCAGGACGAACGCUGGCGGCGUGCCUAAUACAUGCAAGUCGAACGGAGAGCGUAUGACAGAGGAUUCGUCCAACGGAUUACGUUUCUUAGUGGCGGACGGGUGAGUAACGCGUGAGGAACCUGCCUCGGAGUGGGGAAUAACACAACGAAAGCUGUGCUAAUACCGCAUGAUGCAGCUGGGUCGCAUGACUCUGGCUGCCAAAGAUUUAUCGCUCUGAGAUGGCCUCGCGUCUGAUUAGCUGGUUGGCGGGGUAACGGCCCACCAAGGCGACGAUCAGUAGCCGGACUGAGAGGUUGGCCGGCCACAUUGGGACUGAGACACGGCCCAGACUCCUACGGGAGGCAGCAGUGGGGAAUAUUGGGCAAUGGGCGCAAGCCUGACCCAGCAACGCCGCGUGAAGGAAGAAGGCCCUCGGGUGGAAACUUCUUUUGCCAGGGACGAGCAAGUGACGGUACCUGACGAAUAAGCCACGGCUAACUACGUGCCAGCAG
rnacentral:rRNA from 1 species